UUUUAUGAAAUGCUUCGGUAAACAAUGUUUUAUCAUGUUUUGUUUUUGGGAACAAAUUCCGCAACUCUUUCAAAUCAAAAGGAUUUACUCUGAAAAUAUUUAAAAGCAUAAAUGAAAAUCGGUCUUUUCUGGCCGAGAUUUUGGGGAUGUCACAAAAUCACAACUAAUCAAACCGAUCUUAGCAGAUCACAUACAUAGCACAUCCCUACCAGGAUUCCGACCUAACCGGUCACUAGCAUAGCAUCAUCCUAUAAACCAGGCUACCGACCCUACCAGGUCUCUAAGAUAUACCAUCCUAACUACCAGGAUGCAAACAUAACAAAGCAAUAACAUAAAAAACAACUACCCAGAUUUCCAUCCGAUAAAGGGCCGACCUUGGUGCCUUAGACCCUGUCGAUAAAGUGAGGAUAACUCACCUCGCAACUGCUGACUGAAAAGAUAAGAUCACGCUUCUCCAACCUUCGACAUGAACUCCACCACUGCUAAUACCACAAGACUGAACUUAGUAAAUACCAAUAGUUACCAAAAUACCCCUGGAAUUUAACUGGUCAACUCUUGGUCAAAGUCAAAGUCCUCAGUCAAAGUCAACCUUCCUGACUGACUCUACUCGCCGAGUCAACCCGCUGACUCGUCGAGUCUCUAUCCUCAAAAACUCCCAAUCUAUGACUCAACUCGCCGAGUCGCACCAAGACUCGCCGAGUCCAACCAACUCUGAGUUACUUCCUACUCAACUCACCGAGUUGUCCCUCGACUCACCGAUUCACCGCUCAACCAAAAAGGUUAGGACCUUACGACUAGACUCGCCGAGUUGUUCUUCCAACUCGUCGAGUCCAUGCACAUAUUCAUACAACUCGCCGAGUGAACCCAUGUGACUCGCCGAGUCCAGACGUGACAUCUUCAUCCAGACGAUUUCAGGCCAUUCCAAUGCUUCCAAUACAUAGAUCUGGAAUCCUAGGGCCAAAUUCACAUGUAAAGUUUCCAACUUUACGUGCAUGCAAGGUUCAACAAGCUUUAAACAAGCUAAAAUGAAGGUUUAAGGCAAGGACACUCUCAAACAAGACCCAAAGUUAUCACUUUCCGAAUUCAUGGGUCACGACCAGUCUAGAUGACUAGAUCUGUAGUAGCAACCACAGAUCUGAACCCAAAACUCGAAAAGAGACUCAUAUAUGACGAUUUGGCCUUAAAACUUCAUUCAUGAACAAUCUAAGCACAACCAAGCCAAGGCAAUAGCUUUUUACCUUUAAUCUGAUGCUAACAAGCAAGGAAAUCAGAUCCACUUCGCUCCUCUAUGAUCCCACCAACUCUUGCUUCAAGUAUCCUUCUUCUCCAAGCUCCACAAAACACUUAAAUCCCUCUCACUCUCAAAUUAGGGUUUGGAAACGAUGGGGAAAACUUCUGGACAUCAAAGGGGUGCUAAAGAGGCUGGGGUGGGGCUUAAGGUUCCUUAUAUAGGGUGCAAACCCCAGGAAUUAGGGUUUCUCAUUCCAACACGGAAUCGUCGAGUCCAGCCUCUGACUCGGCGAGUCCAGUCACUUAACAUAUACCCGACACCCGCUUAGAC
rnacentral:lncRNA from 1 species